CCUACGGGAGGCAGCAGUAGGGAAUAUUGCUCAAUGGGGGAAACCCUGAAGCAGCAACGCCGCGUGGAGGAUGAAGGUUUUAGGAUUGUAAACUCCUUUUGUGAGAGAAGAUAAUGACGGUAUCUCACGAAUAAGCACCGGCUAACUCCGUGCCAGCAGCCGCGGUAAUACGGAGGGUGCAAGCGUUACUCGGAAUCACUGGGCGUAAAGAGUGCGCAGGCGGGCUUGUAAGUCAGAUGUGAAAUCCUGUAGCUUAACUACAGAACUGCAUUUGAAACUAUGAGUCUAGAGUGUGGGAGAGGUAGGUGGAAUUCGUGGUGUAGGGGUGAAAUGCGUAGAUAUCAAGAGGAAUACUCAUUGCGAAGGCGACCUACUGGAACAUUACUGACGCUCAGGCACGAAAGCGUGGGGAGCAAACAGGAUUAGAUACCCUAGUAGUC
rnacentral:rRNA from 1 species